UGGGGAAUAUUGGGCAAUGGGCGCAAGCCUGACCCAGCAACGCCGCGUGAGGGAAGAAGGUUUUCGGAUUGUAAACCUCUGUCGCAGGGGACGAAGGAAGUGACGGUACCCUGUAAGAAAGCCCCGGCUAACUACGUGCCAGCAGCCGCGGUAAUACGUAGGGGGCGAGCGCUGUCCGGAAUUACUGGGCGUAAAGGGAGCGUAGGCGGUCGAUUAAGUUAGAUGUGAAACCCCCGGGCUUAACUUGGGGACUGCAUCUAAUACUGGUUGACUUAGAGUACAGGAGAGGGAAGCGGAAUUCCUAGUGUAGCGGUGAAAUGCGUAGAUAUUAGGAGGAACACCAGUGGCGAAGGCGGCUUUCUGGACUGACACUGACGCUGAGGCUCGAAAGCGUGGGGAGUAAACAGGAUUAGAUACCCUGGUAGU
rnacentral:rRNA from 1 species